rnacentral:rRNA from 1 species
ACGAACGCUGGCGGCGUGCUUAACACAUGCAAGUCGUACGGUAAGGCCCUUUCGGGGGUACACGAGUGGCGAACGGGUGAGUAACACGUGAGUAACCUGCCCACAACUUUGGGAUAACGCUAGGAAACUGGUGCUAAUACUGGAUAUGUGCUCCUGCUGCAUGGUGGGGGUUGGAAAGCUCCGGCGGUUGUGGAUGGACUCGCGGCCUAUCAGCUUGUUGGUGGGGUAGUGGCCUACCAAGGCGGCGACGGGUAGCCGGCCUGAGAGGGUGACCGGCCACAUUGGGACUGAGAUACGGCCCAGACUCCUACGGGAGGCAGCAGUGGGGAAUAUUGCACAAUGGGCGCAAGCCUGUUGCAGCAACGCCGCGUGCGGGAUGACGGCCUUCGGGUUGUAAACCGCUUUCAGCAGGGACGAAGCUUUUUGUGACGGUACCUGCAGAAGAAGCACCGGCUAACUACGUG